UACAGAGGUCCCAAGCGUUGUUCGGAUUCAUUGGGCGUAAAGGGUGCGUAGGCGGCGCGGAAAGUAGGGUGUGAAAUCCCUCGGCUCAACCGAGGAAUUGCGCCCUAAACUACCGUGCUCGAGGGAGAUAGAGGUGAGCGGAACUUAGGGUGGAGCGGUGAAAUGCGUUGAUAUCCUAAGGAACACCGGUGGCGAAAGCGGCUCACUGGAUCUCUUCUGACGCUGAGGCACGAAAGCUAGGGUAGCGAACGGG
rnacentral:rRNA from 1 species